CAAGUUUUUCAGGGAACUGUGCAGCAAAACUCUUAACAUGGAUGUGUUGGCUGAAAUGAAGAAAGAAAUCCCUAUAAUUUUGUGCAAGCUUGAGAAAAUUUUCCCUCCUGCUUUCUUUGAUGUGAUGGUGCACCUUGCCGUACAUUUACCCGAAGAGGCAUUACUCCGAGGUCCCGUACAAUAUGGGUGGAUGUACCCAGUUGAAAGGAGGUUGUAUACUUUAAAGAGGUAUGUGAGGAAUAGGGCAAGACCAGAAGGUUCAAUUGCUGAGGCAUAUAUUGCCGAUGAAUGCCUGACAUUUUGCUCCAAGUACAUGGAUGAUUUCGAAACCAUAUCUUAUCAGAAACCAAGCAAUGUAGGUUAUUCAUAUGAAGAAGCCUAUGGUGUUGAUGUUUUUGGACAUGGAGUAAAUUUUACUUUAGGAUAUGAAUAUCAAUAUGUAUAUGACAAAAAAAAAUUGAUCAAAUGAUGUGGUGUGUGUUGAACAAUUGUGGUCAAGCUCAGAAAUAUAUCGAGUAUGUUCCCACUUCUGAACUUGCGUAUGUUGCAUUUUUGUGGUACACAUGUAUUCUAUUGACUAAUAUGUUUUAUCCUAUUUUACAGAAUGUUCAGAGAUGAGUUAAAUAGAAAACGGGUGCUAAACAUUGAGAAAGAGCUUCAGAAAGAAUUCCAGACAUGGUUCAAGAACUAUGUUAGUUUUCAUUCACAUCUAGUUAUAAUAUUUGGUUGUUAGACUUCACUACAGUUUCUAAUGUAUGAAUUUGUGUGUUGUAGAUCAUGAGGUUGCGGGAUGAACAUAGCGAAGAAAUAGAUGAAGAUCUCUUUUCCUUGGCAUGUGAACCAGAUCGGAGAGUCAGAAAAUACUCACCGUGCAUAGUGAAUGGUAUUAGAUAUAGCACUGUCGACCGUGAUAGCAACAAGAGAACACAGAACAGUGGAGUCAUGGCUGAAGGUGAACAUGCCAGUAAGGUCAUAGAUUUUUAUGGAACCUUGAAAGAGAUCAUCCAGUUGGACUAUAACUCCAACGAUAACUUGGACGGCAGGUCAGUUAUUUUGUUUAAAUGUGACUGGUUUAAACUUGAUGGAAAGAAGGAGCUAAAAAAUGACCGGUUUUUCAAAAGCAUCAAUGUUGAAAGUUUAUGGUACAAGGAUGAUUCUCUUAUUCUGGCUACUCAGGCAAGAAAAAUCUUUUAUUUGCCAGACACGAAGUAUGGGAAAAAUUGGCAAGUUGUGCAAACAUUUGACCAUAGGCAUCUCUUUAAUAUUAGUGAAACUGAGGGUGCACCUUUUACUGGUCUUGCAUAUCAAGAGGAGGAGUGUUGUGAUGAGGAAGGUAUGAGAACGUCGGUUUCUGAACAUACAUCUGAGAAGCCUUUGCAUAGAGACAAUGAGCAAGGCAUUAUUUUUGAAGCUGAUGUAAUUGCACGCUUGAUGAAAGAAAAGAACACAGAAGUGUAUGAAGGUGGCAAUGAAGAUGAAGAUGAUACAGGAAUGGAGUAUUGCAGCAAAGACGAAGGAGGCGGCAUGAUGGAUGUUGACAGCGAUGAUGAGUAGAUGAUUUACGUUGAUUUUGUGUCAGAUUUUGUGCACUUCCGUUUUUAUCGAAAGAUGUUGUGUCACUUUUGUUUUACUGAAAGAUGUUGUGUCACUUUGCAAAACCUGCAUGAUGUGAAUUUUGUUAUCUAAAUGUUUCUGUUGGGAGAAUUUUUUCUGUGUAUAUUUGAAUCCCUUAUGUGGUUUCUUCAGUGCAUACAGUAUGUGUAUCUGAAUGUGUGUUGUGCACAUCUGAAUGUGUGUUGUGCUGAACUACAGCAAUGCACCAAGUCAGACACCUUGUCUGGUUAGGCGCGCGAGCAGCCGAGAGCAACACACCAAGUAAUUAACUUCCCAUGUUGACCCAACAUGGGCAAGAUACAAACUGUGGCGCAUUGGCAACAGGCUGUUUCUCCCACUCGGAAGGCCAGGGAUCGAAUCCUGCUACCAACGUUGUUCCUCACUCAUUUUUCUCACCCACCUCAUCCCCGUGUAUGUCUUCAUGGGCCGGCCCGCGGGGCGUGGCAUCCCUGUUUUUUUUUCAUUUCGUUUUUGUCUUUUCUUUUCUUAUUUCUGUUUUUUAUUUUUUUUGAAUUAAUUUGAUAUUGAAUUUUUUUAAAAUGUUGUGACUUUUCAAAAAAAUGUCAUAAAAUAUCUACUGAUUUUAAAAAUGUUCGAAAAACAUAAAAAUUUCAUGGUUUCAAAAAAUGUCGGUAAUUUUACAAAAAAAUUGGCAAAUUAUAAAAAAUCACAAUUUGGAAAACAAUUGUUGGGAAAUAAAACCAUGUUCCUGAUUUUGAAAAAAUGAUCAUGUAUACAAAACAUAUUCAUGAAUCUAAAAAAAUAUCCAUGAAAUUUUUGAAAAUUCUCAAAAAAAAACAACUUUUCUGUGAAUUUCAAUUUUUUCCUAAUUUAAAAAAACAUCGAUUCAAAAAAAAUGUCAAUUAAAAAAACUUUUCGCUGUUUCAAAAGUCUUUUAUGUCUAGGUUUUGAUCAUUUUUUGAAAGUCAUGCAAGGUGUCGUCACACCAAUCCGAAGUGCCAAGGCGUGAUCAAGCGAUUCUCGUCUUCUUUUUCGAUGUGGGCCAUAGUAGCCGAUGAUACACGCCAAUCCUAAUUAUCUUCAUAUCUACACAAGCAUCUUUGGACAAUCAAAUAUUUCCUAAUUAAUCUCAACUAUUUUUAGUUUUGAAUGGCACAAACCGCACAGAUUUGAACAAAUUAAAGAGCAAGAGAUGAACUAAAGUAGUAAGGAUUAAUUGUGCACCUAUGCAGCCAUGGAGGAUCUCGUCUAAUCCUCUUCUAGUUUCUGAUUGGAAACUGAAGGAAAUUCGCCCUGGCGGCGAUAGGUGGAGACUCGAGCAUAGAACGGGUAGAAGGAUCUCCUCGUGUUGUUGCCGCUCAUCUGCGCGUCCGGUCUGCCGGCAAGUGGCUGCCUGUCCUGGCGUCCCCUUCCCUUCUGCCCUUCUCGAUGACGGCGCGAUGGAGACUCGAAUAGAUCAGCAGGCCCCUUGCCGCUGCAUGCUUUGGUUUAGAUCAAAAAGCAGCUAAACGAAGAGGUUAGCGAUUUUGUUUUUAGAAAUAGGAGGUUAGCGAUAUCUGCGUGACUACGUGCGUUAUGGAAGCCAGAAAAAUCAGUGAUCAACUCAUCCACAUCAAGGUACCACAGCGGGUGACACAGCGACAACCACCUCUCCAUACUACAGCCUUCAAGUGUUGGGACACCCCAGUAUCCUCACCACCUUUUUGUGUUCCGCCUAAGUAUGCAAGGUGUCAUCACACCAUUCUGAAGUGCCAAGGCAUAAUCAAGUCGAUUCUCAUCUUCUUUUUCGACACGGGCCAUAGGAGUCGACGAUCCAAGAUUGUACAUGUCUCCUUUUGUGUGGUGAGGAUGCCGGUGUCAUGGCGAUCGAUUUGAGAAGGCGUGUCGGUAAAUAACUUCAUUGGAGUUGGCUAAUAAAUAGCAUGUAAAGAAACAUAUGCUUUACCAAUUCUAGUAACAAAUAAAAUGCUAGUGCUAUAUAUAUAUAUAUAUAUAUAUAUAUAUAUAUAUAUAUAUAUAUCCUUUGUAAUGUUCUAAAUAUCAUUUGGCGGCAAGAAUACCCGGGCACAUGUACAAUUUUAGCUCCAACGGCGCCAAGCCAAAAAGUCCACCAUCGUAAAUUGACCGAAUGACCCAUCAAGGUGUUUGCCGAUUGCACAGAACCAUUCUUCCACCAGGUGCCAUCCGAAGGGCAUGUUAGUAAUUUGACACACAAGAAAUACUUAAUCCCCACCGCACGCCCACCCCUACCCCACAGUUCGCCAAAUCCGCUCCCCAUUCCCCUUUCGCCUCCACUGCCGCCGGCGACCGCUUCACCUCCUCCACCGCAGGCCACCGCUUCACCUCCUCCACCGCCGGCCACGACUGUCCUUCCUCUUCCACAUCCACGGUCAGUCACGACCCCACCCCCACUGUCGGCCAAGAACCCCCUCCUCCCCACCAUCCGCCUCCACCGAACCCUAGAACACGCCGUCACCUCCUCCACCGGNNNNNNNNNNNNNNNNNNNNNNNNNNNNNNNNNNNNNNNNNNNNNNNNNNNNNNNNNNNNNNNNNNNNNNNNNNNNNNNNNNNNNNNNNNNNNNNNNNNNNNNNNNNNNNNNNNNNNNNNNNNNNNNNNNNNNNNNNNNNNNNNNNNNNNNNNNNNNNNNNNNNNNNNNNNNNNNNNNNNNNNNNNNNNNNNNNNNNNNNNNNNNNNNNNNNNNNNNNNNNNNNNNNNNNNNNNNNNNNNNNNNNNNNNNNNNNNNNNNNNNNNNNNNNNNNNNNNNNNNNNNNNNNNNNNNNNNNNNNNNNNNNNNNNNNNNNNNNCCGAACCCUAGAACACGCCGUCACCUCCUCCACAGCCGAGCAAGACUCCCUCUUCCGCAUCCACCGCAGGUCACCACCCCAUCCGACUAUCGGCCAAGACUCCCCCUCCCCCCUCACCUUCCACUCCACCGAACCCUAGAACCCCGACCAUGGGGAAGAAGACGGCAGGGAAGAAACACCGAGGAGGCAAGACAGCAGUAGCAGGUAUAACCCCUCCCCAUGCCUUUAAUAUUCUCUGUUUUUGCUUGUGAUUCUGGUUCUAAUACUGUACUGCUAGUUUUCUGGUUCUAGUAAAUACUGCAAUGGCCAAAUCGAUAGUGCUUCUGGUUCUGGCCAAAUUGAUAGUGCUUGAUUUAAAUACACACUGAACAUUUUUAUGGUGCUAGUGCUUCUGGCCAAAUUGGUAGCGCUUGAUUUAAAUUGAUAGUGCUUCUGGUUCUAAUACAAUAUACAAAUUGAUAGUGCUUCUGGUUCUACUAAAUACUGCAAUGGCCAAAUGCCUCUGGGUUUUGCCAAUACUGAAGAAUACCAAAGUAUUUGUAUAGUGUUGUAUUUCUUGCCCACAAGUUCUAAUACUGUGGUUUCUUAAUAGUAUGGUUUUCUAAAUAUUGUGCAUCCAAACACAGCCGAAUAAGAUCCUUGUGCUUCCAAGUGUAGAUUUGGUUCCCGUAUUGAUGCAAACUCAAUAAAAAACAGUAAUUUGUUAUUACUCUUAUGCACAUAGUAAUUCGUGUUUACAUCUGUACUCGUCUUAGAAUGACCACUACAUCCUAUGGAAGUGUCACACCUCAAAAAGUUCAUGAGGAACAAUGCAAGGCUGCAAUCACUUGGACUACCUACAUUAUCAACAUUGUUUGCAAACAAAGCUGUCAUUUCACCUGAAAAAGAAAGCCCGAGCAUACUUGUGAUGAAUCUGAAGCUGAGUACCAUCCUAACGAGGAGGAUACCAGUGAAGGAGACUUGUCUGAUGAUAGUUUAAUAGAUGAGAGGGAAGUACUGCAAGACUUAAAGUCCACACCAUCUCCUAGCUCAAAGUUGAAGGUGCUAAAAUCCUUCGACUAGUCAUUCCUAGAUAUGUUGCUUGUUUGCUAUUGCAGCAGAAUUUUUGUUACACUUUGUUGAUUUAACCAUGUUUUCAUUUCUAUCAGGGGUUGAACGACUGUAAGAAGACCAGCGAGGAAACUAAUAAGAAAAUAUCUACUGCCAUGGCCCCUGGUGGAAUCAAGCCUCGGCCUCCUAAAAGAAUUCAUGCGGAGCUUCCAACGAAUGCGUGAGUCACAAGGUCAAACAAAAUACUAUUACUAGAUGCUGAUGCAAGUCCUCAAAGUGAAGGGGUGUCAGAUCCUAAACAUCAAACACCAAUUGCAAUCCAUAAGCCAACUGUUUCUGUGCCUGAAGCUGAAGAAACCGUUCCCAACUUUGAUAACCGCACACAUGGUGUUGAAGGCAAGUUGUACUAUCAUUCUAAUGUUCUGUCUUAUGGUUCAUUAGCCCUAUUCAUUAACUUUGAUUGCAAGAUGAGCAUACUCUCACUAGAUGUAUUCUUUUUAAUAGAUGGCGCCCGUGCCCAUUCUGAUGAUGACUACUGGAUGAGCAAUGGAUCUGAUCUCAUUGCCCGUCAUGAUGAUGGCAACCAUAUGGACUUCAAAACUGGUGGUAGUGCCGAACCUUGUCAGCAAACACAAUCUGAACCUGACAAUGACACUCAAGGCAUGUUAUAAAAUCCAAAAUAUUUCUAGCAUGUUAUUUGAGUUACAAUAGUGGUGCUUUUUGUUAAACUGAACUAAUAAUUGGUGGAGCUUAAAACAGUUCUCUAAAAUUAGACUGAAGUUAUGAGCUUAAUUCAUCUUGUUCCAGUUACUGAUUUUGAAAGAUGUUCUCCAUUUAUCAGUGCACUUUUCUACUUCCUAAUUUUCAUUGAUAUAUGUAUACAUUCUGAUUUACCUUCUUGAAGGGCCACGAUCCUAUGAGGAGACAAGGGAAAGAGGGGUCAAUAUUGGAAAAGGCCUGGAAAGGAUCAGUCGACGUCGGGGGGGGGGCAAGCUGCUUGUCAUUCCAGAAGGGAGGUUAAGGCCGGAGACACCUCUUCUUGCUACAAAGUUUGCAACCGAAUGCAAUGUCACAGUCAGAGGCCAUGUGCCCGUGUUUAAACGCUGGAAGGAUUACAAGGACCCAGGCGGAAAUGUCCGAGAAGGGAUCUUCCAGAACUUUGUAGGAAAAGUUGGUGUAAGUACAUGAUCCAACCCUUUCUCAGUCAAAUGGCUAGUAACCUGUCAAUUUUGUGCUAUUUUUAUUAUGUGCAAUCAUGAUUCUUACACAUGUUCUUUCAUCUGACUAGAACAAAUUUGAGAUGGACGUAAAAGCUGUGCCCGUUAGGAAGGCUUGUACGCAAAUGCUGAAAGGUGCAAUUCGCCAACAACGAUACAGGCUCAAGCAGAAGUAUUUUGAUCCUUUCCCACUCAAUUUGGUGACGGAAACUUCUCCAGUCUGCUCGAUGACUGAUGACCAGUGGAAUGAGCUUGUUGAAAGCUGGAAGGAUCCCCAAAAAUGGUACAUUUCUUCUUGGAGACAAAUAUUAUUUUGUCGUUGCCAACCACCCUUAUUAUUGUUUCUUGUACUUCAGUACUGAACGCAACACUCCACUACAUCCUGUAUUAGCUAGUAGCAUCAAAAUUGGAUGGUUCUAACCCAUUACUCAUGAGUCAGAGGUCCUGCAAGUUACCAGACUUACAUUUAGGAAAUAAUAAAAUUCAAUAUAUAUGUAAAACAAAAACAUUAUGACUUAUUCACUUCUUUGUGUGCUUGUCAAUUAGCAUUGUCAUCCAUAUAUUGAUUAUGAGAACUCAAUGUAUGAUCGAAAUGUCUACUCUGAUGUAAUACACUACCAUAAAGCUCCUGAUCUGGAAGUACUUGAAAACAACCUUUUGUACACUAUAGCUCAUAUUUUAGCAUGAGGUUGUCUGUCAAAAGAUCAAUCAAUUAAAGUUGCAAUGUUAUUGUGUGAACAUCAUGAACCUCUGAAAUGUCGGGGUGUGUAUAUAAGAUGAAUCCUUCUCGAAUGUUUAUUUGUUUCCAUAAUAACUCUUGAAUAAAUGCAUUUAGCUAACCAAAUCACUGAUCCAUGCAGAAGAUAUGUGGAAUUAACAAAAAUAACCGUGCUCAAGUCAAGUUUCACCACACUACUGGUUCGCGCAGCUAGCCCGUGCACUGUGAUAACCUGCUAAGUCAAACAUGUGUCUGGGGAUGUGCAAAUAGUUUAUGUGACAGUAACCGGCAAUUGUUUUUAUGAGAUUUUUCUGCCUGGUCUUCAUAAAUGUUAUUGACCAUAAGUUCAUGUAAACCUCACCAUUGCAGCCAAUACAUGUCUUUUGCACUUAAGUACAUUAAGUACGAUAGUUUCUUAGUUUGCUAGCAGUAAUGAAUAUAACUGCUCCCUUGCCUACAGCCAAUACAUGUCUUUUGCACUUAAUGGUAUCUCAUCAUGAAUAAAUGAAUAAAGUAUAGUUCAAUAUUGGUACUAUACAUGUUGUUUCUUCACAAAUGUUAGCUUGAUGCCUAUAUGUUGUUUUCAGGGAGACAAAUACAAGGAGAAAGAACCCACUGCAGUGGAUUUAUUCAAAGAGUGCCACUACAGCAGCAAAAAGAAAGGCUACACACCGAUGCUGUGCAAGCUGCAAUUGUAAGUCAGCUUUCAAAGAUCACCAACCAUCAAAAUGUUAACCUUUUGCCAUAGAUCCAGUAGUAGGAUAAUAAGUAAUUGCCAAAUAUACUUGUUAUUUUUUGUCAUUGUGCUAAAAUACUAGCUGUGUUCUGUCCUUGUGCUAUAAUACUUGCCACCUUUUGUCCUUGUGUAAAGUACUUGCUAUUUUAUGUCCUUGUGCUAAAAUACUUGUUGUCCUUGGCCUACAGUACUUGCACCAUACAUGUAGUGACUAGAGUAUAAUUACAUGUCUACAUCUGUACAUGGAAAUGUGGCAUACAUAUAGGCAAAACCUAUUUGUCUCAUGUUUUGCUCACCGUGUUCAUUUGCUUGCAUGGCUAGGAUGAAAUGGAAGAGAAAGCUACUCAACCUACAAAAGAUGGCCAACAAUCCAACUCUGCAACCAAGGCUGUGGCUGAAGUUCUUACUAAGCACACUAAGAAGCCAAUGUUUCUUAAGCAUGUGGGGGUCCAGCACGUGCAUGAGAGAUCCAGUCGUAGCGACCGUAAGGCAGAACAGGAAGCGCAGAAGAGGGGAAAUGCUGAGCUUCGGGCCCUUGUUGAAACCUUGAACAAUAAGUUACAGGAAUCAGAAGAAGCAAGGAUCAGGCAAGAAGAAGAAAGGACCAAGUAAGAAGAGGAGAACAGGAAAAAGCAAGCUGAGCUGGAAGCUAAAUUAGACUUUUUACUAAAUCAGAUUCAUCCAAGAUAAGCUCAUGAGUAAGUUGUUUGUCCAAGCAAAAUUCUGCUAGAAGCUAUGAAUGUGGUGGAACCUGCCUUCUGCUAUAUGUUAUUUUGUAGUGCAAACUGCUUAUGAUGUUGCUGGAUGCAAACUAAGUAUUUUGCUGGCAGAUGGAAGUUGUGUUGGAUGUGUUAUGUUUGAUGGUUAGCAGAUUUGGACAUGGAAGUUUAUUUAUGUUGGAUCAGUACUUAUCUUACUGUAAUGCUGGAGUUUAAUUUGUGUUUGUGAUGAUGUGCAUCUGUUCUGUCUAUUUUACAUUGUUGUUGUACCAAAAGAAAGUUCUUCAUUGUGGUGGACCAAAAUUUGUUUUUGAGCAUUAAUGGGCUAGAUUUGGUACAGUGUAAAUGGACUGAGAAACAGCAUACUGGACCAUCAGAAACAGGCUAACAGAUAGAAGUUUUUUUAAAAUAUGGGCCCGACAAAAAUUAACGGGCCAAACAAUCCGGUAUGUCUUAUUAUUUUCCGGAUAUUCGACCUGGCUCGACAAAUUAACUGGGCCAAAAUUAUAGGCCCAAAUGGUAGAGGCCCAGAUGAAGCCACAUCAGAUCCACGUGGAUGCCACGCAAUAAAUCAUGGCAUGCAGAUCGGUGACGGAUCUGUCCGUCACCGAAACCCGGGACUGGGGCAGGCCGAGCGGGGCCGGGGGCCUGAUCAGUGACGGCUAAGCAUUUCUGUCACGGAGUGUGCUGGUGGCAAAUUAUGACGCGUGAUACAUGACAGAUUCUUAAUCCGUCACGGAGGACAAGGCCUGAUGGUUUUGUACACUGUUGUGACGGUUUAUAUCUAUCACGGAGGGCCUCUACAUCAACUCCAUGGCCCCUCCGAUGAUGUGUGAAUAGUUUACCUCAGACCUUCGAGUCCAUAGUUAUUAGCUAGAUGGCUUCUUCUCUCUCUUUGGAUCCCAAUACAAAGUUCUACUCGAUUCUCUUGGAGAUCUAUUCGAUGUAAUCUUCUUUUGCGGUGUGUUUGUCGAGAUCCGAUGAAUUGUGGGUUUAUGAUCAAGAUUAUCUAUGAACAGUAUUUGAAUCUUCUCUGAAUUAUUUUAUGUAUGAUUGGUUAUCUUUGCAAGUCUCUUCGAAUUAUCAGUUUGGUUUGGCCUACUAGAUUGAUCUUUCUUGCAAUGGGAGAAGUGCCUAGCUUUGGGUUCAAUCUUGCGGUGCUCGAUCCCAGUGACAGUAAGGGAAAUGACACGUAUUGUAUUGUUGCCAUCGAUUGAUAAAAAGAUGGGGUUUAUAUCAUAUUGCAUGAGUUUAUCCCUCUACAUCAUGUCAUUUUGCUUAAAGCGUUACUCUGUUCUUAUGAACUUAAUACUCUAGAUGCAUGCUGGAUAGCGGUCGAUGUGUGGAGUAAUAGUAGAAUAUGCACGCAGGAGUCGGUCUACUUGUCACGGAUGUGAUGCCUAUAUACAUGAUCAUACCUAGUAGUAUCAUAAUUAUUCGCUUUUCUAUCAAUUGCUCGACAGUAAUUUGUUCACCCACCGUAAUACUUAUGCUAUCUUGAGAGAAGCCACUAGUGAAACCUAUGGCCCUCGGGUCUAUUCUCCAUCAUACAAGUUUCCAAUCUAUUUUAUUUUGCAAUCUUUACUUUCAAUCUAUAUCAUAAAAAUACCAAAAAUAUUUAUCUUAUUAUUAUUAUAUCUAUCAGAUCUCACUCUUGCAAGUGGCCGAGAAGGGAUUAACAACCCCUUUAUCGCGUUGGUUGCGAGGUUCUUAUUUUUGUGUAGGUACGAGGUGACUCGCGCGUGUCUCCUACUGGAUUGAUACCUUGGUUCUAAAAAACUGAGGGAAAUACUUACGCUGCUUUGCUGCAUCACCCUUUCCUCUUCAAGGGAAAACCAACGCAUGCUCAAGAGGUAGCAAGAAGGAUUUCUGGCGCCGUUGCCAUGGAGAUCUACGCCAAGUCAAGACAUACCAAGUACCCAUCACAACUCUUAUCCUUCACAUUACAUUAUUUGCCAUUUGCCUCUCGUUUUCCUCUCCCCCACUUCACCGUUGCCGUUUUAUGCACCCUCUUUUCCUUUCGCCCUUUGUUUCCGUUCGCUUUUUCCUCGCUUGUUUGCUUAUGUGUUGGAUUGCUUGCUUGUCAUGAUGGCUCAAGGUAAUACUAAAUUGUGUGACUUUGCCAAUACCAACAAUAAUGAUUUUAUUAGCACUCCGAUUGCUCCCCAUACCGAUGCUGAAUGUUGUGAGAUUAAUACUGCUUUGCUGAAUCUUGUCAUGAAAGAUCUGUUUUCUGGCCUUCCUAGCGAAGAUGCCGCUACCCAUCUAAACAACUUUGUUGAUUUGUGUGAUAUGCAAAAGAAGAAAGAUGUGGAUAAUGAUAUUGUUAAACUUAAGCUAUUUUCGUUUUCACUUAGAGAUCGUGCUAAAGCUUGGUUUUCGUCUUUGCCUAAAAAUAGUAUUGAUUCAUGGAAUAAGUGCAAAGAUGCUUUUAUCUCUAAGUAUUUUCCUCCCGCUAAGAUCAUCUCUCUUAGAAAUGAUAUUAUGAAUUUUAAACAACUUGAUCAUGAGCAUGUUGCACAAUCUUGGGAGAGGGUGAAAUUGAUGAUACGUAAUUGCCCUACACAUGGAUUGAAUUUAUGGAUGAUUAUACAAUUUUUUUAUGCCGGAUUGAAUUUUGCUUCUUGAAAGCGUUUAGAUUUGGCCUCGGGAGGCACUUUUAUGGAAAUCACUUUAGGAGAAGCUACUAAACUCCUAGAUAAUAUUAUGGUUAAUUAUUCUCAAUGGCACACUGAAAGAUCUACUAGUAAAAAGGUGCAUGCAAUUGAAGAGAUUAAUGUUUUGAGUGGAAAGAUGGAUGAACUUAUCAAAUUGUUUGCUAAUAAGAGUGCUCCUACUAAUCCUAAUUAUAUGUCUUUGUCUACUUUGAUUGAGAAUAAUAAUGAAUCUAUGGAUGUGAAAUUUGUCGGUAGGAACAAUUUUUUUAACAACGUGUAUAGAGGUAAUUUUAAUCCUAGGCCGUUUCCUAGUAAUUUCUCUAAUAAUUAUGGUAAUUCCUACAACAAUUCUUAUGGAAAUUAUAAUAAGACGCCCUCUGAUUUUGAAUAUAAUAUUAAAGAAUUUAUUAGUUCACAAAAGAGUUUCAAUGCUUUGAUUGAAGAAAAAUUGUCUAAGAUUGAUGAGUUGGCUAGGAACGUGGAUAGAAUUUCUCUUGAUGUUGAUUCUUUGAUGCUUAGAUCUAUCCACCUAAGCAUUAUAUUAAGGAGUCUCUCAAAGCCAUGAGAAUUUCCAUUGAUGAGUGCAAAGAAAGAACCGCUAGGAUGCGUGCUAAGAAAGAUUGCUUUGUGUAAGCGUGUUCUUCUAGUUUUCAUGAUAAUAAUGAUGAAGAUCUAAAAGUGAUUGAUGUGUCCCCUAUUAAAUCCUUGUUUUUCAAUAUGAAUCUUGAUAAUGAUGGGACUGGAGAUGAGUCAACUUUAGUCAGAAGGCGUCCCAAAAAUUCGGAGUUUUUAGAUCUUGAUGCAAAAAUUGGUAAAAGUGGGAUUGAAGAGGUUAAAACUUUAAAUAGCAAUGAACCCACUAUCUUGGAUUUCAAGGAAUUUAAUUAUGAUAAUUGCUCUUUGAUAGAUUGUAUUUCCUUGUUGCAAUCCCUGCUAAAUUCUCCUCAUGCUUAUAGUCAAAAUAAAGCUUUUACUAAACAUAUUGUUGAUGCUUUGAGGCAAUCUUAUGAAUAAAAACUUGAGUUGGAAGUUUCGAUCCCUAGAAAACUUUAUGAUGAGUGGGAACCUACAAUUAAAAUUAAAAUUAAAUAUCAUGAAUGCUAUGCUUUGUGUGAUUUGGGUGCUAGUGUUUCGACGAUCCCAAAAACUUUGUGUGAUUUGCUAGGUUUCCGUGAAUUUGAUGAUUGUUCUUUAAACUUGCACCUUGCGGAUUCCACUAUUAAGAAACCUAAGGGAAAAAUUAAUGAUGUUAUUAUUGUUGCAAAUAGGAAUUAUGUUCCCAUAGAUUCCAUUGUUCUUGAUAUAGAUUGCAAUCCUUCAUGUCCUAUUAUUCUUGGUAGACCUUUCCUUAGAAACGAUUGGUGCAAUUAUUGAUAUGAAGGAAGGGAAUGUUAGAUUCCAAUUUCCGUUAAGGAAAGGCAUGGAACACUUACCUAGAAAUAAAAUUAAAUUACCAUAUGAAUCUAUUCUGAGAGCCACUUAUGGAUUGCCUACCAAAGAUGGCAAUACCUAGAUCUAUCCUCGCUUUUAUGCCUAGCUAGGGGCGUUAAACGAUAGCGCUUGUUGGGAAGCAACCCAAUUUUAUUUUUAUUCCUUGCUUUUUUUUCCUGUUUAGUAAUAAAUAAUUUAUCUUGCCUCUUUUUUGGUUGUGUCUCUUGUGUUUAAUUAGUGUUUGUGCCAAGUAGAACCGUUGGGAAGACUUGGGGAAAGUCUUUUUGAUCUUGCUGUAAAAAACAGAAAGUUUGGCGCUCACGAGAAUUGCUGCCAUUUUUAUUGGAGAGUGCUAUUUAGUUAAUUCUUUUUUCAGAUGAUUAAUAGAUAAAUUCCUAACGUCCAUCAAUUUAUUUUAGAAUUUUUUGGGUUCCAGAAGUUUGCGUUAGUUAUAGAUCACUAUAGACUGUUCUGUUUUUGACAGAUUCUGUUUUUCGUGUGUUGUUUGCUUAUUUUGAUGAAUCUAGUAAUGGAGUUUAUAAACCAUAGAAAAGUUGGAAUACAGUAGGUUUAACACCAAUAUAAAUAAAGAAUGAGUUCAUUACAGUACCUUGAAGUGGUGUUUUGUUUUCUUUCGCUAACGGAGCUCACGAGAUUUUCUUGUUAAGUUUUGUGUUGUGAAGUUUUCAAGUUUUGGGUAAAGAUUUGAUGGAUUAUGGAACAAGGAGUGGCAAGAGCCUAAGAUUGGGGAUGCCCAAGGCACCCCAAGGUAAAUCUAAGGACACCAAAAAGCCUAAGCUUGGGGAUGCCCUGGAAGGCACCCCCUCUUUUGUCUUCGUUCAUCGGUAACUUUACUUGGAGCUAUAUUUUUAUUCACCACAUGAUAUGUGUUUUGCUUGGAGCGUCUUGUAUGAUUUGAGUCUUUUCUUUUUAGUUUACCGCAAUCAUCCUUGUUGUACACACCUUUUGAGAGAGACACACAUGAAUCGGAAUUUAUUAGAAUACUCUAUGUGCUUCACUUAUAUCUUUUGAGCUAUAUAGUUUUUGCUCUAGUACUUCACUUAUAUCUUUUAGAGCACGGUGGUGGUUUUAUUUUAUAGGAAUAAUUGAUCUCUCAUGCUUCACUUAUAUUAUUUUGAGAGUCCUUUAGAACAACAUGGUAAUUUGCUUUUAGGAAUAAUAAAAACUUUCAUAUAAGUGCAUUGAAUACUAUGAGAAGUUUGAUACUUGAUAAUUGUUUUGAGAUAUGGAGAUGGUGAUAUUAGAGUCAUGCUAGUUGAGUAGUUGUGAAUUUGAGAAAUACUUGUGUUGAAGUUUGUGAUUCCCGUAGCAUGCAUGUAUGGUGAACCAUUAUGUGAUGAAGUCGGAGCAUGAUUUAUUUAUUGAUUGCCUUCCUUAUGAGUGGCGGUCGGGGACGAGUGAUGGUCUUUUCCUACCAAUCUAUCCCCCCAGGAGCAUGUGCGUAGUACUUUGUUUCGAUAACUAAUAGAUUUUUUCAAUAAGUAUGUGAGUUCUUUAUGACUAAUGUUGAGUCCAUGGAUUAUACGCACCCUCACCCUUCCACAUUUGCUAGCCCCUCUAUUACCAUGCACUUUUCGCCGGUAUCAUACACCCACCAUAUACCUUCCUCAAAACAGCCACCAUACCUACCUAUUAUGGCAUUUCCAUAGCCAUUCCGGGAUAUAUUGCCAUGCAACUUUCCACUGUUCCGUUUGUUAUGACAUGCUUCAUCAUUGUCAUAUUGCCAUGCAUGAUCAUGUAGUUGACAUCAUAUUUGUGGCAAAGCCACCGUUCAUAAUUUUUUCAUACAUGUCACUCUUGAUUCAUUGCAUAUCCCGGUACACCGCUGGAGGCAUUCACAUAAAGUCAUAUUUUGUUCUAAGUAUUGAGUUGCAAUUGUUGAGUUGUAAGUAAAAAGAAGUGUGAUGAUCAUCAUUAUCAGAGCAUUGUCCCAAUGAGGAAAUGAUGAUGGAGACUAUGAUUCCCCCACAAGUCGGGAUGAGACUCAGGACGAAAAAAGAGAAAAGAGGCCAAAAGAAAAAAAAAGAAAGCCCAAAUAAAAAAACGAGAGAAAAAGAGAGAAGGGACAAUAUUACUAUCCUUUUUUCUAGACUUGUGCUUCAAAGUAGCACCAUGAUCUUCAUGAUAAAGAGUCUCCUAUGUUGUCACUUUCAUAAACUAGUGGGAAUUUUACAUUAUAGAACUUGGCAUGUAUAUUCCAGUGAUGGGCUUCCUCAAAUUGCCCUAGCUAUUCGUGAGCAAGCAAGUUGGAUGCACACCCACUUAGUUUGUUUUGUUGAGCUUUCAUACACUUAUAGCUCUAGUGCAUCCGUUGCAUGGCAAUCCCUAUUCACUCACAUUGAUAUCUAUUGAUGGGCAUCUCCAUAGCCCAUUGAUACGCCUAGUUGAUGUGAGACUAUCUUCUCCUUUUUGUCUUAUCCACAACCACCAUUCCAUUCCACCCAUAGUGCUAUGUCCAUGGCUCACGCUCAUGUAUUACAUGAAAGUUGAAAAAGUUUGAGAACAUCAAAAGUAUGAAACAAUUGCUUGGCUUGUCAUCGGGGUUGUGCAAGAUUGAAUAUUUUGUGUGAUGACGAUAGAGCAUAGCCAGACUAUAUGAUUUUGUAGGGAUAACUUUCUUUGGCCAUGUUAUGUUGAGAAGACAUGAUUGCUUAGUUAGUAUGCUUGAAGUAUUAUUAUUUUUAUGUCAAUAUUAAACUUUUAUCUUGAAUCUUUAGGAUCUGAACAUUCAUGCCAGAAUAAAUUAAAAAUAUGUUAGGAAGCAUUCCACAUCGAAAGUUCUGUUUUUGUCAUUUACCUACUCGAGGACGAGUAGGAAUUAAGCUUGGGGAUGCUUGAUACGUCUCCAACGUAUCUAUAAUUGUUUAUUGUUCCACGCUAUUAUAUAUUUUGUUUUGGACGUUUAAUGGGCUUAUUUAUACACUUUUAUAUUAUUUCUGGCACUAACCUAUUAACUGAAGGCCCAGCUCAAUUUGCUGUUUUUUGCCUAUUUGAGUGUUUCACAGAAAAAGAAUGUCAAACGGAGUCCAAACGGAAUGAAACCUUCAAGAGCGUGAUUUUUGGAACAAAUGUGAUCCAAAGGACUUAGAGUGGACGUCAAGCAAUCAACGAGGAGGCCACGAGGCAGGGGGCGCGCCUACCCCCUCGGCGCACCCUCCACCCUCGUGGGCCCCUCGUGGCUCCACCGACCUACUUCUUCCUCCUAUGUAUAACUACGUACCAUGAAAACAUCAGAGAGCACCACGAAAACCUAAUUCCACCGCCGCAACCUUCUAUACCCAAGAGAUCCCAUCUUGGGGCCUUUUCCGGAGCUCUGCCGGAGGGGGCAUUGAUCACGGAGGGCCUCUACACCAACUCCAUGGCCCCUCCGAUGAUGUGUGAGUAGUUUACCUCAGACCUUCAUGUCCAUAGUUAUUAGCUAGAUGGCUUCUUCUCUCUUUAGAUCUCAAUACAAAGUUCUCCUCAUUCUCUUAGAGAUCUAUUCGGUGUAAUCUUCUUUUGCGGUGUGUUUUUCAAGAUCCGAUGAAUUGUGGGUUUAUGAUCAAGAUUAUCUAUGAACAAUAUUUGAAUCUUCUCUGAAUUCUUUUAUGUAUGAUUGGUUAUCUUUGCAAGUCUCUUUGAAUAAUCAGUUUGGUUUGGCCUACUAGAUUGAUCCUUCUUGCAAUGGGAGAAGUGCUUAUGUUUGGGUUCAAUCUUGCGGUGCUCGAUCCCAGUGAUAGUAAGGGAAACGACAGGUAUUGUAUUGUUGCCAUCGAGGAUAAAAAGAUGGGGUUUGUAUCAUAUUGCAUGAGUUUAUCCCUCUACAUCAUGUCAUCUUUCUUAAAGCGUUACUCUGUUCUUAUGAACUUAAUACUCUAGAUGCAUGCUGGAUAGCGGUCAAUGUGUGGAGUAAUAGUAGUAGAUGCAGGCAGGAGUCGGUCUACUUGUCACGGACGUGAUGCCAAUAUACAUGAUCAUACCUAGAUAUUCUCAUAAUUAUUCACUUUUCUAUCAAUUGCUCAAUAGUAAUUUGUUCACCCACCGUAAUAAUUAUGCUAUCUUGAGAGAAGCCACUAGUGAAACCUAUGGCCCCUGGGUCUAUUCUCCAUCAUACAAGUUUCCAAUCUAUUUUAUUUUGCAAUCUUUACUUUUAAUCUAUAUCAUAAAAAUACCAAAAAUAUUUAUCUUAUUAUUAUUAUCUCUAUCAGAUCUCACUCUUGCAGGUUGCCGAGAAGGGAUUGACAACCGCUUUAUCGCGUUGGUUGCGAGGUUCUUAUUUGUUUGUGUAGGUACGAGGUGACUCGCGCGAGGUCUCCUACUGGAUCAAUACCUUGGUUCUCAAAAACUGAGGGAAAUACUUAUGCUGCUUUGCUGCAUCACCCUUUCCUCUUCAAGGGAAAACCAAUGCAUGCUCAAGAGGUAGCAGUGACUAACACCCAAAGGGUUUACUAGAGUCAAUAAUCUAGUUCGCAUCGCUAUGUGUUUAACACCCAAAGAGUGAUCAUGUUUUGAUUGUGAGAGAAACUUAGUCAACGGGUCUGCCACAUUCUGAGCCGUAUGUAUUUUGCAAAUUUUCUAUGUCUACAAUGCUUUGCACGGAGCUACUCUAGCUAGUUGCUCCCAUUUUCAAUAUGUAUCUAGACUGAGACUUAGAGUCAUCCAUAUCGGUGUCAAAGCUUGCAUCGAUGUAACUCAUUACGACGAACUCUUUGUCACCUCCAUAACCGAGAAACAUUUCAUUAUUCCACUAAGGAUAUUUUUGACCGCUAUCUAGUGACCCACUCCUGGAUCACUAUUGUACCCUCUUGCCAAACUUAUGGUGAGGUACACAAUAGGUCUGGUACACAGCAUAGCAUACUUUAUAGAACCUAUGACUAAGCCAUAGGGAAUGACUUUUCAUUCUCUCUCUAUUUUCUGCCGUGUCGGGUUUUAAGUCUUUACUCAACUUCACACCUUGCAAAACAGGCAAGAACUCCUUCUUUGACUGUUCCAUUUUGAAUUUACUUCAAAAUCUUGUCAAGGUAUGUACUCAUUGAAAAUAUAUCAAGCGUCUUGAUCUAUCUCUAUAGAUUUUGAUGCUCAAUAUGUAUGUCGCUUCAUCGAGGUAUUCCUUUGAAAAACUCCUUUCAAACACUCCUUUAUGCUUUCAAGAAAAUUCUACAUUAUUUCCGAUCAACAAUAUGUCAUUCACAUAUACUUAUCAGAAA
rnacentral:lncRNA from 1 species